AAUAAGUGCAGUUUUGCACUGUUCAUGUUAAACGUUUAACCGUCUGUCUUAUUUGAAAUUUUUUUAUGAUUAGUAUUUUUGUUGUUAUUAGAUGAUAAAGCAUGAAUAGUACUUUAUAGGUGACUAAUGUUUUUUAAUUUUUCAUAAAUUUUUUAAAUAAGAUGAACGGUCAAACGUUGAAGACGGAUAUUCAUAGCCUGUGUUUAUU
rfam:Oryza punctata chromosome 1, whole genome shotgun sequence.